rnacentral:rRNA from 1 species
CCUACGGGAGGCAGCAGUGGGGAAUAUUGGACAAUGGGGGAAACCCUGAUGCAGCGACGCCGCGUGAGUGAAGAAGGAUUUCGGUUUGUAAAGCCCUAUUAGUAGGGAAGAUAAUGACGGUAUCUAACGAAUAAGCCCCGGCUAACUCCGUGCCAGCAGCCGCGGUAAUACGGAGGGGGCAAGCGUUAUGCGGAAUCACUGGGCGUAAAGGGCGCGUAGGCGGGAUAGCAAGUCUGAUGUGAAAUGCUAGGGCUCAACCAUAGAACUGCACUUGAAACUGUGAAUCUAGAGUGUAGGAGAGGUAGGUGGAAUUCUUGGUGUAGGGGUAAAAUGCGUAGAGAGCAGGAGGAAUAC